UGAUUUAAAUGACGAGUUUGACAAGUGGCAACCUACAACACAAUUUAUAAUUCCGGCAGUCAUCGUUGUAGUAUCUUGCAUCAUUGCAGCUGUAACACUUAUUAAAAGAAUACACAGUAAUCGUUUACAGGAGUCCAAUCAAAGUAACGUGUCCACAGGAAAUUCUCUCAGAAAUCCAAAAAAGGCUCUAAAAACGGUGAUCAUCGUGGCUGUUGUCUUUCUGUGCAUGACGUCACCGAGUGCAAUUUUGCGUUUUUGGAUUAUAAACAAUGGAGUUUACUAUUUUUCCACCUGGUUCUUUUUUGCUAAUCUACUUAGAGUAUCUAAUAGCUGCGUUAAUCCAUUUAUUUAUGCACUCAUGUCCAGUAGUUUUCGAUCGGCCAUCAAAUCAACAUUUUGCUGUAAAACAGAUUCGACAAACAGGCAAAAUUUAAAUUUUAACUCUAGAAGUAGACCGUUGCAAAACAGAGUUUAGAAACAAUGAUAAACUAGGCCAAGAGUAAUCUUCAUUAAAUAAGGCUGCAUUCACAUCGGAUCCCAAACCAAAAUUCCGACCAGGUUUUGGAUGCACUACGCCAGCGUCCCUACUCCUGUGACAGAGUGAUACAGUAAUUUAUAUAUAAUAUACACAAAUGUCUUAGCAUCAUAUUUUUAUAAUAUAUAAGUGUAUUUAAGGAGUUGAAGAUGUUUGCUGACAAAGGUUUAGUUAUUCAUUCAUUUGAAUAAAUAAAUUUUAAAAAAAAUUAACUGAUGGUGUGUGUAUGGAUGAGAUAACGGGAUGAGAUACAUGGAUAGAUGGAUGCAUGCAUGAUGGCAUGCAUGAUGGAUAGAUAAAUGGAUGGCUUGAUGGAAGGAAGAUCAAUGAUGGACGAAGGAAGCCUUAGGAAGGCAUGCAAUAAAUCAAUUCAAAAGUACGGACAGAUGGACAAACGAACGAAUUCAAACGAACGACAAACGACCCAAUGAAUGAAGUCAACACAUUCACUUUCACUCUCUAAAAUUAUUCGAUGCAAAAA